rnacentral:misc_RNA from 1 species
AGAAACUGUUCUGAACAAGUGGGGUACCGAUUUCCCCUUUCUCUUCAAGGUAUUAUCUGUUGCCAAACCUUUGUCCAUACAGGCCCAUCCAGACAAGGAUUUGGCCACUUCUUUGCAUAAAGAGCAGCCUUCUGCUUACAAGGAUGACAAUCACAAACCUGAGAUGGCUUUGGCGCUGACACAAUUUGAAGCUUUAUGUGGGUUUGUCAGUCUUGAGG